UACGUAGGUGGCAAGCGUUGUCCGGAUUUAUUGGGUUUAAAGGGUGCGUAGGCGGCUUUGUAAGUCAGUGGUGAAAUACGGUAGCUCAACUAUCGAGGUGCCAUUGAUACUGCGGAGCUUGAGUACAGAUGAGGUAGGCGGAAUUGACGGUGUAGCGGUGAAAUGCUUAGAUAUCGUCAAGAACACCUAUAGCGAAGGCAGCUUACUAGGCUGUAACUGACGCUGAGGCACGAAAGUGUGGGGAGCAAACAGG
rnacentral:rRNA from 1 species